rnacentral:rRNA from 1 species
AGAGUUUGAUCAUGGCUCAGAUUGAACGCUGGCGGCAGGCCUAACACAUGCAAGUCGAACGGUAACAGNNNNNNNNNNNNNNNNNNGCUGACGAGUGGCGGACGGGUGAGUAAUGUCUGGGAAACUGCCUGAUGGAGGGGGAUAACUACUGGAAACGGUAGCUAAUACCGCAUAACGUCGCAAGACCAAAGAGGGGGACCUUCGGGCCUCUUGCCAUCGGAUGUGCCCAGAUGGGAUUAGCUUGUUGGUGGGGUAACGGCUCACCAAGGCGACGAUCCCUAGCUGGUCUGAGAGGAUGACCAGCCACACUGGAACUGAGACACGGUCCAGACUCCUACGGGAGGCAGCAGUGGGGAAUAUUGCACAAUGGGCGCAAGCCUGAUGCAGCCAUGCCGCGUGUAUGAAGAAGGCCUUCGGGUUGUAAAGUACUUUCAGCGGGGAGGAAGGGAGUAAAGUUAAUACCUUUGCUCAUUGACGUUACCCGCAGAAGAAGCACCGGCUAACUCCGUGCCAGCAGCCGCGGUAAUACGGAGGGUGCAAGCGUUAAUCGGAAUUACUGGGCGUAAAGCGCACGCAGGCGGUUUGUUAAGUCAGAUGUGAAAUCCCCGGGCUCAACCUGGGAACUGCAUCUGAUACUGGCAAGCUUGAGUCUCGUAGAGGGGGGUAGAAUUCCAGGUGUAGCGGUGAAAUGCGUAGAGAUCUGGAGGAAUACCGGUGGCGAAGGCGGCCCCCUGGACGAAGACUGACGCUCAGGUGCGAAAGCGUGGGGAGCAAACAGGAUUAGAUACCCUGGUAGUCCACGCCGUAAACGAUGUCGACUUGGAGGUUGUGCCCUUGAGGCGUGGCUUCCGGAGCUAACGCGUUAAGUCGACCGCCUGGGGAGUACGGCCGCAAGGUUAAAACUCAAAUGAAUUGACGGGGGCCCGCACAAGCGGUGGAGCAUGUGGUUUAAUUCGAUGCAACGCGAAGAACCUUACCUGGUCUUGACAUCCACGGAAGUUUUCAGAGAUGAGAAUGUGCCUUCGGGAACCGUGAGACAGGUGCUGCAUGGCUGUCGUCAGCUCGUGUUGUGAAAUGUUGGGUUAAGUCCCGCAACGAGCGCAACCCUUAUCCUUUGUUGCCAGCGGUCCGGCCGGGAACUCAAAGGAGACUGCCAGUGAUAAACUGGAGGAAGGUGGGGAUGACGUCAAGUCAUCAUGGCCCUUACGACCAGGGCUACACACGUGCUACAAUGGCGCAUACAAAGAGAAGCGACCUCGCGAGAGCAAGCGGACCUCAUAAAGUGCGUCGUAGUCCGGAUUGGAGUCUGCAACUCGACUCCAUGAAGUCGGAAUCGCUAGUAAUCGUGGAUCAGAAUGCCACGGUGAAUACGUUCCCGGGCCUUGUACACACCGCCCGUCACACCAUGGGAGUGGGUUGCAAAAGAAGUAGGUAGCUUAACCUUCGGGAGGGCGCUUACCACUUUGUGAUUCAUGACUGGGGUGAAGUCGUAACAAGGUAACCGUAGGGGAACCUGCGGUUG